CUUUCUGGUUGAUUCUCUUAUGGUGACC
rnacentral:piRNA from 1 species